UGAAUGUCGUUUAUUCUCAGCUUUGAGAACUGAAUUCCAUGGGUUGUAAUUGAAUCCGCUGUCAGACCCAUGGGGCUCAGUUCUUCAGCUUGGAUAUUUCUGUCUUCAUACACACGGGAGAUCAAAGAAGCAGUUGAUCAUUCACUGACUCUUCUGGAUGGUGAUAGCUGCAAGUAGGAGAGAACGAAUAACUGAUGUGAAUCAUUUUAACAGGCAGGUUUCAUUGUGAAGGCCAGGCUCUCUCAUGUUAUAUAGCUAUAUGGUGAUUGAAUCUCUCCUUAACUGAUAGGCUCUAUGUUGCUAUUCACUGCUUAAUUCACUCCGUUCUUUUCUCUCAAUUUUAUCAAGGUUACUUAUAAAUCCUGAGAUACUGCUGAUUGAACGACAGUCCCCAAAUAGUGCAAAGUGAUGCAGUGCUCCUAUGAGCAGCUGUGGUGAACUUCACUAGACCAGUACAACCCUGGAUCUCCCCCAUUUGAACACCAAGUUUCCCAGCUGAUAAUGUGCUGUAACCUCCUCUGUCUGGUACCACUACUGUGCAGUUAUUGUUUCUUUUGCUUUGCCAAAUAUCCGUUGUCAGCAAGAAAAAUAUCUGGCUUGCGACUGUAAAGAAUAUGCAUUUGCACCAGCUGCCAGCACCCUUACAUAAACACACAUUUGCUUUCCUGAACAUGGUAAUAUGCUCCCAGAGUGUUUGGAUUAGGGAGUUUCUAGUGUAAUCAGUGAUGGCAAUGUGAGUGCUGUUUGAAAGCUCAGCAGCACAAGCAUCCCUUUAUAGGGGGAUUUAUUUAAGUCACAGGCUAAUGUAUUUUUUAUUGGAGAAUCUAUGCUAAAAUUUUUCAUUCAGGCAUAAGGAAAAUAAUAUUUGUGGUCUUUAAACAUGUAAAGAGUUAUCACUGCUAAUGAGCUUUCCACCUCUUUCCUGCAAUAAUAACACCUUCUAAAUUACAUUUUUCCAGCUCAGUAAAGUGAUACAUUGAUCUCAUCCCUGUGGUGCAAUGCUCUCAAAAGCAUAGAAAUAUGAAAAUCCCACAGGUGCAGGAGCAGUGUGCUCAGCUAAGUAGCUUAAAACUGUCAUGUGCCUUUUACUCUGAAAAUGUAUUUACACUAAAAAUAAUCAGAUACAAUCACUGUUGCCUGUGGAUACAGAUGUACCUUCAUACUGAAGUGCUUUUCAUAUAAGUUUUUAUUCUAGGUGCUGAAGAUGUUCUUUGUGGCUGUCUGAAGCGUAUUGUGCUCACUAGUCUAGAUAUUACAGUUCUUGGAAGAAUUCAGCAGUUUCAGCAGCUCCUGCUGUGCGAAUAUCCAUUAAAGAAGAGGGAGGAAUGCACAAAGCAGAGUGAUGAAGUCCCACUUUUUCAUUUCCUCUAUCAUCCCUGUCAGAAAGAGGAAACAAAGUUUGAGGUCAGAGUUAGAAAAAUCUGCAGAAGAAGAGGAACAGAAUAGUUCUACAGGAUGUCUAAUGCAGGCAGCGUGGUGGAUAGCAGAUGGCUGAAGGCACAAAACUUCAUCCACUUCCUUCGCUGUGAAGUCCAGCCUUCAGGCAGUGAUGCAGCAGAGAAGACGAUGUGUUUAUAGUGGUAACCACACAAGGUCACUGAUGAAAUCAAGAUGGUCUUUGGUGCAGGAGUCUUUGCAGUCCCGUCUCUUUGAGGGCAACCCUCAAAAUAUGGUGCUCCUGUAGUUACUUUCGAACCUUGCUUGCCCUGUGGCUGACAAGGCAUCUUCUUUUUGGACAUUCUUGGGAUCUUCAAAUCGGGUUCACAUAAGGAAGAGUUUUUCCUGGAUGCAGAAAUCUGUGGUUCUUGUGACAUUUUUAGGCACAUCAACUGGUUCACACAGCCCUUCAGAACAGACCCGAGGCUGCAGCACGUCCAUCAGUGCCUGGGCACUUGCACCAUGUUCUUGGAUAAUUAAAGCCACUUUACAUCAAGGGUGAUCCAUAAAGGAAGGCAUUUUGCAUGUGAAAAGCUGCAAAGGGUGGAAGACUUUGGGGUAUCAGCAGUGAGCAGCAAGCAACUGAGAUUGUUAAUGCUACAGUAAGCUGCCUGCUUUUGCAUCUCUAUGGGAUCAUGGAAAGAGGCCACUUGCUGGAUUUCUGUACUUUGUCUUGAUUAAAUGGCUGUUUCAAUUUGAUAUUCACUCCUUUCAUACUUGUAAUCACUUUAAGAUUUUCAUUUUAUAGUAUUCACUUAUUUAACUGCUUGUUUCCUGCCAAGUCUAAAAAAAGAAAGGCUUUUCCCUCCCUUCUCCUUGCAGCAAUAAAGGCAAGAGUUUACACAAAAUUA